rnacentral:rRNA from 1 species
AUGCAUGCAUGCGUCGUCAAUUUCAUGAGGUUCAGUAGAUCUGUACAUCAGUUGGUGCUGAUGGGCGAGAUCGGCGGGAACGACUACAACUUCUGGUUCAGUGACCGCCGGAGACCCCGUGAAACGCCGGAGAAGUACCUGCCCGACGUGGUCGCCCGCAUCGGCGCCGCCGUGCAGGAGGUGAUCAACCUCGGCGCCAGGACGACCGUCGUCCCUGGCAACUUCCCCAUCGGGUGCUUGCCGGCGUACCUGGGCGCCCACCAGAGCAACGUCAAGGCCGACUACGACGAGCUCCACUGCCUCAAGUGGUACAACGAAUUCUCCCAGAAGCACAACCAGGUGCUCCGGCAGGAGCUCGCCCGGCUCCGGUCGCAGAACCCUGGCGUCAAGGUCGUCUACGCUGACUACUACGGCGCCGCCAUGCAGUUCGUCCAGAAGCCGCAGGCGUACGGCAUCGCCGACCCGCUCGUGGCGUGCUGCAACGGCAACGGGCCGUACCACACCGGCGGGGCGUGCAACAACCAGACGAAGCUGUGGGGCAGCCCCGACGGGUUCGCCAGCUGGGACGGCCUGCACAUGACGGAGAAAGCGUACAAGAUUGUCUCCGACGGGGUGCUGGACGAGCCGUUAGCCGACACCCCGCUGCGCCAUAUUUGCUAG